rnacentral:rRNA from 1 species
UACGUAGGGUGCAAAGGUUAUGCGGACUUACUGGGCGUAAAGCGUGCGCCGGCGGUCUUGGAAGACAGGGGUGAAAUCCCCGGGCUGAACCUGGGAACUGCCUUUGUGACUGCAAGGCUUGAGUGCGGCAGAGGGGGAUGGAAUUCCGCGUGUAGCAGUGAAAUGCGUAGAUAUGCGGAGGCACACCGAUGGCGAAGGCGAUCCCCUGGGCCUGCACUGACGCUCAUGCACGUAAGCGUGGGGAGCAAACAGG